GUUGAAGCACCGGUAUAAAGGUUUUUGGAAAGCUUUGGGGAUUCUCGUGUGUGAAAUGAUAUGUUAUGUUGCCUUGACAAAUAUGGUUUCUGUGUCCAAGGGCUUUGUGCGUUUGUCCAAGGGCUUUGUGCGUUUACUGUGUUGCAUUCUGUUAACACGGUUUCUGUUUAUGAAUCAUGUUGUACUAUAGUAACUAGGAGACUUUUCAAAUAAUCAACACCAG
rnacentral:lncRNA from 1 species